GCCUGAGUGGUGAAAUUGGUAGACGCAGGGGACUCAAAAUCCCCCGCCGCAAGGCGUGCCGGUUCGAUUCCGGCCUCAGGCA
rnacentral:tRNA from 1 species